CCUACGGGUGGCAGCAGUGAGGAAUAUUGGUCAAUGGGCGCUAGCCUGAACCAGCCAAGUAGCGUGAAGGAUGACUGCCCUAUGGGUUGUAAACUUCUUUUAUAUGGGAAUAAAGUGCAGUAUGUAUACUGCUUGUCAUGUACCUUAUGAAUAAGGAUCGGCUAACUCCGGUCCAGCAGCCGCGUUAAUACGGAGGAUCCGAGCGUUAUCCGGAUUUAUUGGGUUUAAAGGGAGCGUAGGCGGGUUGUUAAGUCAGUUGUGAAAGUUGGCGGCUCAACCGUAAAAUUGCAGUUGAUACUGGCAGCCUUGAGUACAGUAGAGGUAGGCGGAAUUCGUGGUGUAGCGGUGAAAUGCUUAGAUAUCACGAAGAACUCUGAUUGCGAAGGCAGCCUGCUGGACUGUAACUGACGCUGAUGCUCGAAAGUGUGGGUAUCAAACAGGAUUAGAUACCCGUGUAGUC
rnacentral:rRNA from 1 species